GGGUUGUGAGGUUAAGCGACUAAGCGUACACGGUGGAUGCCCAGGCAGUCAGAGGCGAUGAAGGACGUGCUAAUCUGCGUAAAGCGACGGUAAGGUGAUAUGAACCGCUACAGCCGUCGAUGUCCGAAUGGGGAAACCCGGUGCACUCUGUGCAUCAUUGCAGCAUGAAUACAUAGUGCUGCAAGGCGAACCGGGGGAACUGAAACAUCUAAGUACCCCGAGGAAAAGAAAUCAACCGAGAUUCCCCCAGUAGCGGCGAGCGAACGGGGAGCAGCCCAGAGCCUGAAUCAGCUUGUGUGUUAGUGGAAGCGUCUGGAAAGUCGCAGGGUACAGGGUGAUACUCCCGUACACAAAAACACACAUGCUGUGAGCUCGAUGAGUAAGGCGGGACACGUGGUAUCCUGUCUGAAUAUGGGGGGACCAUCCUCCAAGGCUAAAUACUCCUGACUGACCGAUAGUGAACCAGUACCGUGAGGGAAAGGCGAAAAGAACCCCGGCGAGGGGAGUGAAACAGAACCUGAAACCGUGUACGUACAAGCAGUGGGAGCCUUCUUUAUGGGGGUGACUGCGUACCUUUUGUAUAAUGGGUCAGCGACUUAUAUUCUGUAGCAAGGUUAACCGUAUAGGGGAGCCGCAGGGAAACCGAGUCUUAACUGGGCGUUAAGUUGCAGGGUAUAGACCCGAAACCCGGUGAUCUAGCCAUGGGCAGGUUGAAGGUUGGGUAACACUAACUGGAGGACCGAACCGACUAAUGUUGAAAAAUUAGCGGAUGACCUGUGGCUGGGGGUGAAAGGCCAAUCAAACCGGGAGAUAGCUGGUUCUCCCCGAAAGCUAUUUAGGUAGCGCCUCGUGAACUCAUCUUCGGGGGUAGAGCACUGUUUCGGCUAGGGGGCCAUCCCGGCUUACCAACCCGAUGCAAACUGCGAAUACCGAAGAAUGUUAUCACGGGAGACACACGGCGGGUGCUAACGUCCGUCGUGAAGAGGGAAACAACCCAGACCGCCAGCUAAGGUCCCAAAGUCAUGGUUAAGUGGGAAACGAUGUGGGAAGGCACAGACAGCCAGGAUGUUGGCUUAGAAGCAGCCAUCAUUUAAAGAAAGCGUAAUAGCUCACUGGUCGAGUCGGCCUGCGCGGAAGAUGUAACGGGGCUAAACCAUGCACCGAAGCUGCGGCAGCGACACUAUGUGUUGUUGGGUAGGGGAGCGUUCUGUAAGCCGUCGAAGGUGUGCUGUGAGGCAUGCUGGAGGUAUCAGAAGUGCGAAUGCUGACAUAAGUAACGAUAAAGCGGGUGAAAAGCCCGCUCGCCGGAAGACCAAGGGUUCCUGUUCAACGUUAAUCGGAGCAGGGUGAGUCGACCCCUAAGGCGAGGCCGAAAGGCGUAGUCGAUGGGAAACAGGUUAAUAUUCCUGUACUCGGUGUUACUGCGAAGGGGGGACGGAGAAGGCUAUAUCAGCCGGGCGACGGUUGUCCCGGUUUAAGCGUGUAGGCGGAGGGUCCAGGUAAAUCCGGUCCCUUAUUAACGCUGAGGCGUGACGACGAGGCACUACGGUGCUGAAGUGAUAAAUGCCCAGCUUCCAGGAAAAGCCUCUAAGCAUCAGGUAACACAGAAUCGUACCCCAAACCGACACAGGUGGUCAGGUAGAGAAUACCAAGGCGCUUGAGAGAACUCGGGUGAAGGAACUAGGCAAAAUGGUGCCGUAACUUCGGGAGAAGGCACGCUGGCGCGUAGGUGGAGGGACCUGCUCCCCGAGCCGAAGCCAGUCGAAGAUACCAGCUGGCUGCAACUGUUUAUUAAAAACACAGCACUGUGCAAACACGAAAGUGGACGUAUACGGUGUGACGCCUGCCCGGUGCCGGAAGGUUAAUUGAUGGGGUUAUCCGUAAGGAGAAGCUCUUGAUCGAAGCCCCGGUAAACGGCGGCCGUAACUAUAACGGUCCUAAGGUAGCGAAAUUCCUUGUCGGGUAAGUUCCGACCUGCACGAAUGGCGUAAUGAUGGCCAGGCUGUCUCCACCCGAGACUCAGUGAAAUUGAACUCGCUGUGAAGAUGCAGUGUACCCGCGGCAAGACGGAAAGACCCCGUGAACCUUUACUACAGCUUGACACUGAACAUUGAGCCUUGAUGUGUAGGAUAGGUGGGAGGCUUUGAAGCGCGGACGCCAGUCUGCGUGGAGCCAACCUUGAAAUACCACCCUUUAAUGUUUGAUGUUCUAACGUAGGCCCGUAAUCCGGGCUGCGGACAGUGUCUGGUGGGUAGUUUGACUGGGGCGGUCUCCUCCUAAAGAGUAACGGAGGAGCACGAAGGUCAGCUAAUCACGGUCGGACAUCGUGAGGUUAGUGCAAUGGCAUAAGCUGGCUUGACUGCGAGAGUGACGGCUCGAGCAGGUGCGAAAGCAGGUCAUAGUGAUCCGGUGGUUCUGAAUGGAAGGGCCAUCGCUCAACGGAUAAAAGGUACUCCGGGGAUAACAGGCUGAUACCGCCCAAGAGUUCAUAUCGACGGCGGUGUUUGGCACCUCGAUGUCGGCUCAUCACAUCCUGGGGCUGAAGUAGGUCCCAAGGGUACGGCUGUUCGCCGUUUAAAGUGGUACGCGAGCUGGGUUUAGAACGUCGUGAGACAGUUCGGUCCCUAUCUGCCGUGGGCGCUGGAGAAUUGAGGGGGGUUGCUCCUAGUACGAGAGGACCGGAGUGAACGCACCACUGGUGUUCGGGUUGUCAUGCCAAUGGCAUUGCCCGGUAGCUAAGUGCGGAAAAGAUAAGUGCUGAAAGCAUCUAAGCACGAAACUUGCCCCGAGAUGAGUUCUCCCUGACUCCUUGAGAGUCCUGAAGGGACGUUGAAGACUACGACGUUGAUAGGCCGGGUGUGUAAGCGCAGCGAUGCGUUGAGCUAACCGGUACUAAUGACCCGUGAGGCUUAACCUUACAACGCCAGAGGCGUUU
rnacentral:rRNA from 1 species